rnacentral:rRNA from 1 species
UAGGGAAUAUUGCACAAUGGGCGAAAGCCUGAUGCAGCAACGCCGCGUGCACGAAGAAGGCCUUCGGUUGUAAAGUGCUUUCUGUAGGAAGAGGAAGGACGGUACUGCAGGAAUAAGGAUCGGCUAACUACGUGCCAGCAGCCGCGGUAACACGUAGGAUCCGAGCGUUAUCCGAAUUCACUGGGCGUAAAGCGCUUGCAGGCGGCGAGGUAAGUUGGAUGUGAAAGCUCCCGGCUCAACUGGGAGAGUGCGUUCAAGACUGCCUGGCUAGAGUACGAAAGAGGGAGGUGGAAUUCCAGGUGUAGUGGUGAAAUGCGUAGAUAUCUGGAGGAACACCAGAGGCGAAGGCGGCCUCCUGGUUCGAAACUGACGCUAAGAAGCGAAAGCUAGGGGAGCGAACGGGAUUAGAAACCCCGGUAGUCCUAGCUGUAAACGAUGUAGACUGGGUGUUGGUGGUGUAAGAGCCAUCAGUACCGAAGCAAACGCGGUAAGUCUACCG